rnacentral:sRNA from 1 species
CUUUCGUACGCCUGCUGUGGACAGAUCAGGUGGAUAUGUGUAUCGAAGCCACCCGCAGUGAUAAUGGAGCCUUCAGCUGCGAUGACAUCCGUGCCGUUACCAACCACCAGAUCGGGACUGACGCCCUCCAUUACGUCUGGGUUGCCCGCCUUGCCAAUGCCCACAAUGUUCCCAUGCUUAAUGCCGAUAUCAGCCUUGUAGAUACCCGUGUAGUCGACUAUCAGCGCGUUUGUGAUAACAGUAUCGAGUACAGAGGCGUCAGGUCGGUUGGAAGCCUGACCCAUACCUUCGCGCAG